CAGCAGCAGCCGCGGUAAUACGAAGGGGGCUAGCGUUGUUCGGAUUUACUGGGCGUAAAGCGCGCGUAGGCGGACUUUUAAGUCAGGGGUGAAAUCCCGGGGCUCAACCCCGGAACUGCCUUUGAUACUGGAAGUCUUGAGUAUGGUAGAGGUGAGUGGAAUUCCGAGUGUAGAGGUGAAAUUCGUAGAUAUUCGGAGGAACACCAGUGGCGAAGGCGGCUCACUGGACCAUUACUGACGCUGAGGUGCGAAAGCGUGGGGAGCAAACAGGAUUAGAUACCCGGGUAGUCCCUGUCUUUUAUAA
rnacentral:rRNA from 1 species